rnacentral:rRNA from 1 species
ACGCACGCUGGCGGCGUGCUUAACACAUGCAAGUCGAACGGAAAGGCCCCCACCUUGGUGGGGGUGCUCGAGUGGCGAACGGGUGAGUAACACGUGGGUGAUCUGCCCUGUACUUCGGGAUAAGCUUGGGAAACUGGGUCUAAUACCGGAUAGGACCAUGGUUUAGUGUCUCAUGGUGGAAAAAUUAUUGUUUUGGUGCAGGAUGAGCUCGCGGCCUAUCAGCUUGUUGGUGGGGUAAUGGCCUACCAAGGCGUCGACGGGUAGCCGGCCUGAGAGGGUGGACGGCCACAUUGGGACUGAGAUACGGCCCAGACUCCUACGGGAGGCAGCAGUGGGGAAUAUUGCACAAUGGGCGCAAGCCUGAUGCAGCGACGCCGCGUGGGGGAUGACGGCCUUCGGGUGGUAAACUCCUUUCGUUAGGGACGAAGCCACACCUUUUUUGGGUGUGGUGACGGUACCUUUGUGAAGAAGCACCGGCUAACUACGUG